rnacentral:rRNA from 1 species
UAGGGAAUCUUCCGCAAUGGGCGAAAGCCUGACGGAGCAACGCCGCGUGAGUGAUGAAGGUCUUCGGAUCGUAAAACUCUGUUAUUAGGGAAGAACAAAUGUGUAAGUAACUAUGCACGUCACGGUACCUAAUCAGAAAGCCACGGCUAACUACGUGCCAGCAGCCGCGGUAAUACGUAGGUGGCAAGCGUUAUCCGGAAUUAUUGGGCGUAAAGCGCGCGUAGGCGGUUUUUUAAGUCUGAUGUGAAAGCCCACGGCUCAACCGUGGAGGGUCAUUGGAAACUGGAAAACUUGAGUGCAGAAGAGGAAAGUGGAAUUCCAUGUGUAGCGGUGAAAUGCGCAGAGAUAUGGAGGAACACCAGUGGCGAAGGCGACUUUCUGGUCUGUAACUGACGCUGAUGUGCGAAAGCGUGGGGAUCAAACAGG